GUGGGGAAUUUUGGACAAUGGGCGCAAGCCUGAUCCAGCAAUGUCGCGUGCAGGAAGAAGGCCUUCGGGUUGUAAACUGCUUUUGUACGGAACGAAACGGUCCGGGUUAAUACCCUGGGCUAAUGACGGUACCGUAAGAAUAAGCACCGGCUAACUACGUGCCAGCAGCCGCGGUAAUACGUAGGGUGCAAGCGUUAAUCGGAAUUACUGGGCGUAAAGCGUGCGCAGGCGGUUUUGUAAGACAGGCGUGAAAUCCCCGGGCUCAACCUGGGAAGUGCAUUCGUGACUGCAAGGCUAGAGUGUGUCAGAGGGAGGUGGAAUUCCGCGUGUAGCAGUGAAAUGCGUAGAGAUGCGGAGGAACACCGAUGGCGAAGGCAGCCUCCUGGGAUAACACUGACGCUCAGGCACGAGAGCGUGGGGAGCAAACAGGAUUAGAUACCCUUGUAGUCC
rnacentral:rRNA from 1 species